rnacentral:rRNA from 1 species
UGAGGAAAGCUUGCUUUCCUUGAUGACGACUGGCGCACGGGUGAGUAACGCGUAUCCAACCUUCCCAUAACUACGGGAUAACCCGUUGAAAGACGGCCUAAUACCGUAUGAUAUCGUUUGCUGACAUCAAAUAACGAUUAAAGGUUUAGCGGUUAUGGAUGGGGAUGCGUCUGAUUAGCUUGUUGGCGGGGUAACGGCCCACCAAGGCUACGAUCAGUAGGGGUUCUGAGAGGAAGGUCCCCCACAUUGGAACUGAGACACGGUCCAAACUCCUACGGGAGGCAGCAGUGAGGAAUAUUGGUCAAUGGGCGAGAGCCUGAACCAGCCAAGUAGCGUGCAGGAAGACGGCCCUAUGGGUUGUAAACUGCUUUUAUGUGGGGAUAAAGUGCGUGACGUGUCAUGCAUUGCAGGUACCACAUGAAUAAGGACCGGCUAAUUCCGUGCCAGCAGCCGCGGUAAUACGGAAGGUUCGGGCGUUAUCCGGAUUUAUUGGGUUUAAAGGGAGCGUAGGCUGUCUAUUAAGCGUGUUGUGAAAUUUACCGGCUCAACCGGUGGCUUGCAGCGCGAACUGGUCGACUUGAGUAUGCAGGAAGUAGGCGGAAUUCAUGGUGUAGCGGUGAAAUGCUUAGAUAUCAUGACGAACUCCGAUUGCGCAGGCAGCUUACUGUAGCAUAACUGACGCUGAUGCUCGAAAGUGCGGGUAUCAAACAGGAUUAGAUACCCUGGUAGUCCGCACGGUAAACGAUGGAUGCUCGCUAUUCGUCCUAUUUGGAUGAGUGGCCAAGUGAAAACAUUAAGCAUCCCACCUGGGGAGUACGCCGGCAACGGUGAAACUCAAAGGAAUUGACGGGGGCCCCGCACAGCGGAGGAACAUGUGGUUUAAUUCGAUGAUACGCGGGGAACCCUUACCCGGGCUUGACUGC